AUAUCAAUAAGCGGAGGAAAAGAAGACCAACAGGGAUUGCCCUAGUAACGGCGAGUGAAGCGGCAACAGCUCAAAUUUGAAAUCUGGCGUCUUUGGCGUCCGAGUUGUAAUUUGCAGAGGGCGCUUUGGCAUUGGCAGCGGUCCAAGUUCCUUGGAACAGGACGUCACAGAGGGUGAGAAUCCCGUACGUGGUCGCUAGCCUUUACCGUGUAAAGCCCCUUCGACGAGUCGAGUUGUUUGGGAAUGCAGCUCUAAAUGGGAGGUAAAUUUCUUCUAAAGCUAAAUACUGGCCAGAGACCGAUAGCGCACAAGUAGAGUGAUCGAAAGAUGAAAAGCACUUUGGAAAGAGAGUUAAAAAGCACGUGAAAUUGUUGAAAGGGAAGCGCUUGCAGCCAGACUUGCCUGUAGUUGCUCAUCCGGGUUUCUACCCGGUGCACUCUUCUACGGGCAGGCCAGCAUCAGUUUGGGCGGUUGGAUAAAGGUCUCUGUCAUGUACCUCCCUUCGGGGAGAUCUUAUAGGGGAGACGACAUGCAACCAGCCUGGACUGAGGUCCGCGCAUCUGCUAGGAUGCUGGCGUAAUGGCUGUAAGCGGCCCGUCUUGAAACACGGACCAAGGAGUCUAACAUCUAUGC
rnacentral:rRNA from 1 species